UACGGAGGGUGCAAGCGUUAUCCGGAUUUAUUGGGUUUAAAGGGUCCGUAGGCGGAUCUGUAAGUCAGUGGUGAAAUCUCACAGCUUAACUGUGAAACUGCCAUUGAUACUGCAGGUCUUGAGUGUUAUUGAAGUAGCUGGAAUAAGUAGUGUAGCGGUGAAAUGCAUAGAUAUUACUUAGACCACCAAUUGCGAAGGCAGGUUACUAAGCAACAACUGACGCUGAUGGACGAAAGCGUGGGGAGCGAACAGG
rnacentral:rRNA from 1 species